GGAGCAGCAGCUCCAAGCCCUAGAGAGGGAGAAGGCGGAUUUGGCCCCACGGCUGCAAGACGUGCUGUCCCGAUCCCCCACCAAAGAUGCGGAGACCCGGAGCCCGAAGAGGGAUGUGGACAAGGUUUCCCAGCAGCUCGUGGAGACCCAUGAGGAGGGGGAGACCUCGGGGCAGCUGAGAGCCCUGGAGAAGCAGCUGGAGGCAACCAGGAAGGAGCGAGACGAAGCCUUGAAGGUGGGAGACGGG